GUAGGGCAGCGCUUGGCUGACGGUGUUGCAGCAAUGCAAUGCUGAGGAAAGUCCGCCCACACUCGAAAAGGCCACUUUCACAAGAAAGGUCCUUAAACGGACGGCAACCACUCAGAAACGAUACAUCCGUGGGAUAAGAUGAUGCCGCGAAGGCUUCCGCGAGGGAGCUGAGCUAACCGGCAGAUGUUUUUCACGGGAAUGGUUAAACGGUGAGCCCUGGCUUGUGCAAGUCCUUAGGACGCUUAGUUGAAUGCCAAGACUUGCCAUCGAAGCAGCAAGGCAGCAGAAAUGAUGUCAACACCUGCUUUUUGGGCAAGACAAAAGGCGGCUUACAGCUGCCCUAC
rnacentral:RNase_P_RNA from 1 species